AAACUGGGAUUAGAUACCCCACUAUUCCUGGACAUAAAUAGGCCUAAUCCUACCAGAGAACUACGAGCUACCAACUUAAAACUCAAAGAACUUGGCGGUGCCUCUAGACCCCUCAGGGGAACCUGUUUCGUAAUCGACAAUCCACGUUAAACCUUACCCCUUUUUGUUUCAGUAUGUAUACCGUCGUCGUCAGGUAACUUUUCAGAAUAAUAGAAGUUAGCAAAAAAGAACAUUUACCUUUUACGUCAGAUCAAGGUGCAGCUAAUAAAGGGGAGAGAAUGGGUUACAAUUAAUAUUUAUAAUUACGGAUGAAACUAAUGAAAAUUUUCAACUGAAGGAGGACUUGAAAGUAAGAUUUUUUUACAAAAAUUAGCUGAAUAAAACCGGCUCUGAGGCGUGCACACACCGCCCGUCACCCCC
rnacentral:rRNA from 1 species